rnacentral:rRNA from 1 species
UCGGGAAUUUUGCACAAUGGCCGAAAGGCUGAUGCAGCAACGCCGCGUGAGCGAAGAAGGCCUUCGGGUUGUAAAGCUCUGUUGCCUGCGAAGAAGGGCCCUGUCAGGAAAUGGGCGGGGUUUGACGGUAGCAGGCGAGGAAGCCCCGGCAAACUACGUGCCAGCAGCCGCGGUAAUACGUAGGGGGCGAGCGUUGUCCGGAAUUACUGGGCGUAAAGGGCGUGUAGGCGGCCUGUUAAGUCAGGGGUGAAAGACCGGGGCUCAACCCGGGGGGUGCCUCUGAAACUGGAGGGCUUGAGUGCGCUAGAGGGCAGUGGAAUUCCCGGUGUAGCAGUGAAAUGCGUAGAGAUCGGGAGGAACACCAGUGGCGAAGGCGGCUGCCUGGGGAGUCACUGACGCUGAGGCGCGAAAGCUAGGGGAGCAAACAGG